rnacentral:rRNA from 1 species
CGUUCCCGGGCCUUGUACACACCGCCCGUCACACCACGAAAGCUGCUUGAACCAGAAGUCCGCGACCUAACCUUCGGGAAGGAGCGGCCCAAGGUUUAAGUAGUGAUUGGGGUG